AACGAACGCUGGCGGCAGGCCUAACACAUGCAAGUCGAACGCUUCAGCAAUGAAGAGUGGCAGACGGGUGAGUAACGCGUGGGAACCUUCCCAGUGGUACGGAAUAGCCCAGGGAAACUUGGGGUAAUACCGUAUAAGCCCUUAGGGGGAAAGAUUUAUCGCCAUUGGAUGGGCCCGCGUCGGAUUAGCUUGUUGGUGAGGUAAAAGCUCACCAAGGCGACGAUCCGUAGCUGGUCUGAGAGGAUGAUCAGCCACACUGGGACUGAGACACGGCCCAGACUCCUACGGGAGGCAGCAGUGGGGAAUAUUGGACAAUGGGCGCAAGCCUGAUCCAGCCAUGCCGCGUGAGUGACGAAGGCCUUAGGGUUGUAAAGCUCUUUUGGCGGGGACGAUAAUGACGGUACCCGCAGAAUAAGCUCCGGCUAACUUCGUG
rnacentral:rRNA from 1 species